AACGUCCUGGAGGGUAGGACAAUUUCAGCAUUUCAAGGCAAAGUGAGAGCAGGUUACUGGCCAGCCCUGAAGAUGAACUGGAAAGUGUGGACCCCUUUCCAAUUUAUCAACAUCAACUACGUGCCUGUUCAGUUCCGUGUACUGUUUGCCAACCUGGUGGCUUUGUUCUGGUACGCCUACCUUGCGUCGGUAAGGAAGUGAAGCCGCCCGACCACCCUUCAGUUUUACGGAAUUCAGCAUGUGCCGGACGUGCGUGGUUCCCAGGACACGUGUUUAACAUACUGUAGGCCUGAUUGUACUAAAUAUAGGUGCUGGAAAUGAACGCGAUGGUCGAACCACAUCCAGUGCAGUCGUGGAUUAAACGAACGGUUCGCCAAUGAAGUGGCAGUUCCACAGGGAUCAAAAUGCCAUUUAUAAAUAUAAGGAUUUGCACACGAACUGAGAAUCAUGUUGACUGAUUGUACCGUAUGCGAUAAUUGAAGAGAAUGCCUUGGAUCCUUCACACAUUGCCUCAAUUUGCAGAAUCGCAUGUGUCACAAAAAAACAAAUGGACACGUGAUUAAAUUUAACCUGGAUGCUGAACUGAGAUUUGAGCGAAGCUAAUGCAUUAUCCAUAUUAGUUCAACAACAAAACUCAAUACAAUAGAAAACCAAUGGCUAAUUUUAAGGUGUAAGCUAAACACAACAUGCAGAUUGGUGAUCAAGUAAGACUAAUCAGUAUUGCUCUACUUUAGUAUUACUUCAUUAUCAGUGUUGUUGCUUAUAAGCAAAGCCUGCUGCUGUCUUGAAUACCCACCAGUGUUGUAUAGGAACUCAAAUCCAGUUGCUUGCUACGUAGUAAUGUCUAGAGCAAACGACGUGGAGGAAAACACCUCGAUGUGCACCUGCUGUAUAAAAUCCUGCACUCUGCGCAGGUAUGCGUUAAUGUAACCUUUCGAUGAUCGGCCAUUUUUUUCCACUCAACCUUUGAAAUAAAACAAGUGCUUGCCUUCA